rnacentral:sRNA from 1 species
GCAACUUUUAAACAGUAAGUUGUAUCUUUUCACAAAGAUUUAGUUCGAUAAAUUAUUGGUAACAAGAGGGAUGGAAACAACCGCAAAAAGUAUUGAUUGCAAAGAAUUAGGCCUUUCUGUAACGACGAAGCAACAACUGCAUAAAUUAACACUUGCUACUAUUUGACUUUGGGAUUCUUUGUUUUUUGUUUUCUCUUACUUUUGUUUAUAACGCUUACUUAUACGAUCUAUUUUGAGCAACACAUUUUGGGAAGUGAUAAACCACUUCCUUUUUGGUGAUACAUUAAAAAUCAUGUGGUUCCCACCUUUGGCGUCUUAACUUUAGCUUGUUGGUGUGCGUUGAUUGGGAUUAACUUUUGGGUUUACAAACACACUUCACAAACAGAGCUGUUUCACAAAUCAAUUAGGUGACUUAAAUGAGGUAUUUUAUUACCGCAAAUUGCGCUAGCUAACUCCCUUUUCAUUAGACAGAAACU